rnacentral:rRNA from 1 species
UUCCGUAGGUGAACCUGCGGAAGGAUCAUUAAUGAAACUUCAAAGUCGGCCAAAGGUUGUUGCUGGUGAUUAUUCACAUGUGCACGCCUUUGGUCGCAAAUCCACACACACCUGUGCAUCUAUGACUCGAGGUUGUAAUGACUGAGAGUAACUUUUAUACACUCUUGUAUGUAAUGGAAUGUCUUUUUGUGCUAUAAUGUACAAUAUAAACAACUUUCAACAACGGAUCUCUUGGCUCUCGCAUCGAUGAAGAACGCAGCGAAAUGCGAUAAGUAAUGUGAAUUGCAGAAUUCAGUGAAUCAUCGAAUCUUUGAACGCACCUUGCACCCUUUGGUAUUCCGAAGGGUACGCCCGUUUGAGUGUCAUUGUAAUCUCACUUCUACAACUUUAUUGUUGUUUGAAUGUGGACUUGGAUGUUGCCGUUUUAUCACGGCUCGUCUUAAAUGCCUGAGUGUACCCUGUUUUGCAGCGUAUCCAGUGUAAUAAACAUUUCACUAGAGUUGGUUGAAAGACCACGUUGACUAUAUGGGCUCUAUGCUUCAAACCGUCUGCCAUGUGGACAAUUUCUUGACAAUUUGACCUCAAAUCGGGUGGGACUACCCGCUGAACUUAAGCAUAUCAAUAAGCGGAGGAAAAGAAACUAACAAGGAUUCCCCUAGUAACGGCGAGUGAAGAGGGAAAAGCUCAAAUUUUAAAUCUGGUGUCUUUGACUCCCGAGUUGUAAUCUAGAGAAGUGUUUUCCGUGUCGGACCGUGUACAAGUUCCCUGGAACGGGGCGUCAUAGAGGGUGAGAAUCCCGUAUAUGCCACGGACUACCGAUGCUCUGUGAUACACUCUCAACGAGUCGAGUUGUUUGGGAAUGCAGCUCAAAAUGGGUGGUAAAUUCCAUCUAAAGCUAAAUAUUGGUGAGAGACCGAUAGCGAACAAGUACCGUGAGGGAAAGAUGAAAAGCACUUUGGAAAGAGAGUGAAACAGUACGUGAAAUUGUUGAAAGGGAAGCGUUUGAAGUCAGUCGCAUCUGUUGGGGUUCAGCCUGGCUUUUGCCUGGUGUAUUUCCUUUCCGAUGGGUCAGCAUCAGUUUCGACCGAGGGAAAAAGACAUUUGGAAUGUGGCUGUCUUCGGGCAGUGUUAUAGCCUUGUGUUGUAUGUCUCGGUUGGGACUGAGGAUUGCAGCGCGCCAUAAAUGGCCGGGGGUCGCUCCUCUCGACACGCGCUUAGGAUGCUGGCAUAAUGGCUUUAAGCGACCCGUCUUG